UGGCGAACGGGUGAGUAACACGUGGGUGAUCUGCACUGCACUCUGGGAUAAGCCUGGGAAACUGGGUCUAAUACCGGAUAGGACCAUGCUUUAGUGUGUGUGGUGGAAAGUUUUUUCGGUGUAGGAUGAGCCCGCGGCCUAUCAGCUUGUUGGUGGGGUAAUGGACUACCAAGGCGGCGACGGGUAGCCGGACUGAGAGGUUGGUCGGCCACAUUGGGACUGAGAUACGGCCCAG
rnacentral:rRNA from 1 species